rnacentral:rRNA from 1 species
AUUCCAGCUCCAAUAGCGUAUAUUAAAGUUGUUGCAGUUAAAAAGCUCGUAGUUGGAUUUCUGGCAGGAUGACUUUGCCCUCUGUAGAGUGCGCAAUGCUGUCCUACCAUCCUUCUGUUAACCCUGGAGGCCUUUAACAGCUUGUAGGGGGCUCAGAUAUUUUACCUUGAGAAAAUUAGAGUGUUUCAGGCAGGCUAGCGCCGGAAUACAUUAGCAUGGAAUAAUAGAAUAGGACUUAAGCCUCUUCUGUUGGUCUGAGGGGUGUAAGUAAUGAUUAAUAGGGAUAGUUGGGGGCAUUAGUACUUAACUGUCAGAGGUGAAAUUCUCGGAUUUGUUAAAGACUAACUUAUGCGAAAGCAUUUGCCAAGGAUGUUUUCAUCG